AUUUUCUGCCCAUGAUCUCCACUUCUCAGCAGGUUUUCUCCUUAUUUUAAGACCCAUUAUCUCUAAACCAACUCCUACAAAUAUGAUCUAUUGCUAUAUAAUGCAGCAGUUUUAAAGAGGUUUUCUAGAAUGUUGAGGCGUAAAUCAUAGAGCAGUUUACACACCAUCAGAAAACCCUAAUUCCUCUAACCUUUCACCUCUUCCAUAAAAUUUCUAGGUUCUGCGAGGGUUUCUUCCAAAUCCCCCAUCAAAUUUAACCAAUAUGCUCCACCAAACAACCAAAAUCACUUUCUAAUCUCAACCACACUAAUCUAAUCGGUACACACACAAUUGUAACUAGAUGGAUGCGUAUCAGUCGGUCACACUACUAUACGAAGGUUUUCGUUGGAGGACUUCCAUGGGAGACUCAUAGCAAGACGGGUACUCUGAACAAUCUGAGGGGAUUUUGGAAGCAAUUGUAAUUAUGUAAAAAUCAUCCUUAGUUCUGCCCAAAUUUCUUCUCUCACCACCUACCAGAUUGAAGCCUAAAAUCAUCACCGGAAGCUAUCAUCGUCGCCAUAACAUGUUUUAGAGUUUUUAUGUCGAGAUUUGUUAUGACCAACUCCUCUUCGAUGGAGACGAGUGAGAUACUGUCAAAAUUUCCAACUGAAUGGAGACGUACUUAUCUAUGUGCACUUUUAACCAGACGGGUUUAUGAGGCUACAGCUUUUCGGCUUAACAAAGGGCAUGAUAGAGGGGUGAUUACAUUUGCUGAAAACAUUGAAGCAAUGAACAUCAAUGGAUCACUUUCUGAACCAGACUAAUGAUGAGGUCUGCCAUUAUUAUUGCUAAUGAAUAUACAUCUAGACUUACUCGCUAUUUAUAUUGAGGUUAAUUUUUUUAGUUCUUACUUUGCCUACCAUUUUGUAGAUACAUGGUCAGUUAAAAAAUUUAUAUUUUUUUUAGUUCUUACUUUGCCUACCAUUUUGUAAAUAUGUCUACAUUUAAAAUACAGAUGCAAUGUUCCUCAUCAUUGCCUUCCAUGAAUCUAUGUUUGGUUGAUUACUUA